rnacentral:rRNA from 1 species
UACGUAGGGUGCAAGCGUUAAUCGGAAUUACUGGGCGUAAAGCGUGCGCGGGCGGUUUUGUAAGUCUGUCGUGAAAUCCCCGGGCUUAACCUGGGAAUGGCGAUGGAGACUGCAAGGCUAGAGUUUGGCAGAGGGGGGUAGAAUUCCACGUGUAGCAGUGAAAUGCGUAGAGAUGUGGAGGAACACCGAUGGCGAAGGCAGCCCCCUGGGUCAAAACUGACGCUCAUGCACGAAAGCGUGGGGAGCAAACAGG